rnacentral:rRNA from 1 species
ACAAGUAGUCAGAGCCCGUUAAUGGGUGAUGGCGUGCCUUUUGUAGAAUGAACCGGCGAGUUACGAUUUGAUGCAAGGUUAAGCAGUAAAUGUGGAGCCGUAGCGAAAGCGAGUCUGAAUAGGGCGUUUAGUAUUUGGUCGUAGACCCGAAACCAGGUGAUCUACCCUUGGUCAGGUUGAAGUUCAGGUAACACUGAAUGGAGGACCGAACCGACUUACGUUGAAAAGUGAGCGGAUGAACUGAGGGUAGCGGAGAAAUUCCAAUCGAACCUGGAGAUAGCUGGUUCUCUCCGAAAUAGCUUUAGGGCUAGCCUCAAGUGAUGAUUAUUGGAGGUAGAGCACUGUUUGGACGAGGGGCCCCUCUCGGGUUACCGAAUUCAGACAAACUC